UGGGCCCCGCAUCUGAUUAGCUAGUUGGUGAGAUAACAGCCACCAAGGCAACGAUCAGUAGCCGACCUGAGAGGGUGAUCGGCCACAUUGGAACUGAGACACGGCCCAGACUCCUACGGGAGGCAGCAGUGGGGAAUAUUGCACAAUGGGGGAAACCCUGAUGCAGCGAUGCCGCGUGAGGGAAGAAGGUUUUCGGGUCGUAAAGCUCUGUCCUCAAGGAAGAUAAUGACGGUACUUGAGGAGGAAGCCCCGGCUAACUAC
rnacentral:rRNA from 1 species